rnacentral:rRNA from 1 species
UCCUGCCUACGGGGCGCAGCAGUAGGGAAUCUUCCACAAUGGGCGAAAGCCUGAUGGAGCAACGCCGCGUGGGUGAAGAAGGUCUUCGGAUCGUAAAACCCUGUUGUUAGAGAAGAAAAUGCGUGAGAGUAACUGUUCACGUUUCGACGGUAUCUAACCAGAAAGCCACGGCUAACUACGUGCCAGCAGCCGCGGUAAUACGUAGGUGGCAAGCGUUCUCCGGAUUUAUGGGGCGUAAAGGGAACGCAGGGGGUCUUUUAA